AAACGAUUGAAGUCAGUCGUGUUUAUUGGAUUCAGCCGGUCUUCGGUGUACUUCCUUUAAACGGGUCAACAUCAGUUUUGUCCGGUGGAUAAAGGCAGUAGGAAUGUGGCUCCCUCGGGAGUGUUAUAGCCUAUUGUCACAUACACUGGAGGAGACUGAGGACUGCAGCUCGCCUUUUGGCCGGGGUUCGCCCACGUUCGAGCUUAGGAUGUUGACAUAAUGGCUUUAAUCGA
rnacentral:rRNA from 1 species